rnacentral:rRNA from 1 species
CCAGACUCCUACGGGAGGCAGCAGUGAGGAAUAUUGGUCAAUGGGCGGGAGCCUGAACCAGCCAAGUCGCGUGAGGGACGACGGUCCUAUGGAUUGUAAACCUCUUUUGUCGGGGAACAAAGGCGCCCACGGGUGGGCGGAUGAGUGUACCCGAAGAAAAAGCAUCGGCUAACUCCGUGCCAGCAGCCGCGGUAAUACGGAGGAUGCGAGCGUUAUCCGGAUUUAUUGGGUUUAAAGGGUGCGUAGGCGGGUGUUUAGGGCGGGGGUAAAGUGGGGGGCCCCACCCCCUUCCCGCCAUUGAAACUGGCGCUCUUGAGUGGAAGAGAAGUAUGCGGAAUGCGUGGUGUAGCGGUGAAAUGCAUAGAUAUCACGCAGAACCCCGAUUGCGAAGGCAGCAUGCCGGCUUCCGACUGACGCUGAAGCACGAAAGCGUGGGGAUCGAACAGGAUUAGAUACCCUCGUAAG